rnacentral:rRNA from 1 species
CAGUAGCCACGGAAUACGGAGGGUGCAAGCGUUAAUCGGAAUUACUGGGCGUAAAGCGCACGCAGGCGGUCUGACAAGUCAGAUGUGAAAUCCCCGGGCUUAACCUGGGAACUGCAUUUGAAACUGUCAGGCUGGAGUCUUGUAGAGGGGGGUAGAAUUCCAGGUGUAGCGGUGAAAUGCGUAGAGAUCUGGAGGAAUACCGGUGGCGAAGGCGGCCCCCUGGACAAAGACUGACGCUCAGGAGCGAAAGCGUGGGGAGCAAACAGGAUUAGAUACCCGCGUAGUCCCUGUCUCUUAUACA